AGUUAAUUAGCUUAAUUAAAGUUUAUAUUUUGAAAAUAUAAGAUGUAUAAUAAAAUAUAUAUUAACUU
rnacentral:tRNA from 1 species